CCAAUAGCGUAUAUUAAAGUUGUUGCAGUUAAAAAGCUCGUAGUUGAAUUUUAGGCCUGACCGGGCGGUCCGUCUUUGGCGAGUACUGUUCUGUGUCGGGUCUUACCCUUCUGGUAAACCGGCAUGUUCUAUAAUCGCGUGUGCCGGGGGACCAGGACCAUUACCUUGAAAAAAUUAGAGUGUUUAAAGCGGGCUUUUGCUUGACUAGAUUAGCAUGGAAUAAUAAAAUAGGACGUUGGUUCUAUUUUGUUGGUCUAGGACCACCGUAAUGAUUAAUAGGGAUAGUUGGGGGCAUUAGUAUUCAAUUGUCAGAGGUGAAAUUCUUGGAUUUAUUGAAGACUAACUAUUGCGAAAGCAUUUGCCAAGGAUGUUUUCAUUAAUCAAGAACGAAAGUUAGGGGAUCGAAGACGAUCAGAUACCGUCGUAGUCUUAACCAUAAACUAUGCCGACUAGGAAUCGGGCGACGUUAUUUUCACGACUCGCUCGGCGCCUUAUG
rnacentral:rRNA from 1 species